AGUUCGUGUUUUUACAUUGUGAUUUACAUAAAUAAAUUCCCACUGUCCUGUUAAAAUUCAGCUUAUAUAUAGUCGCCAUUUGAUGUGUAAGGACCAAUAAUAAAAGGUUUGUUUAUUUUUUACUAUGUGAUCACGUGUCUAUAUGUUUGCGUCAUGGAGAAAAUUGUUUUCGUCUCUUCUAACCUAACGAUAAUUUUGCGACUGUUUUUGUAGUUCUAAGACAUAAGACAAGAUGAAACAUAAUUAAAAAAGCGACGCUUACAAAUGUAUGGACCGACAAAAUGAAGACAGUUUAACUUGGUUUUGAAGAAAAGAAAUGCACGAAAAAAUUAAAUAAUGUAAUUAUGUAAUCCAUUUCAAUGUAAUUGAUCAAUUUUUCAAAUCGAUUAAUGUGAUCGUGCAAUCGAUUACAAUGCAAUUAAGUAAAAAAAUUUGUUAUUUCAAACCAGGUCAACGUCUAUUCGACGAAUGGCUUAGUAAUAAAGUCGAAAAUUAACAGUUA